rnacentral:rRNA from 1 species
AACGCGAAGAACCUUACCUGGGCUCGAAAUGCAGUGGACCGGGGUGGAAACAUCCCUUCCCCUUAAAAAGGCUGCUGCAUAGGUGCUGCAUGGCUGUCGUCAGCUCGUGUCGUGAGAUGUUGGGUUAAGUCCCGCAACGAGCGCAACCCUUAUCCCUAGUUGCCAUCGGGUCAAGCCGGGCACUCUAGUGAAACUGCCUGGGAUAACCAGGAGGAAGGUGGGGAUGACGUCAAGUCCUCAUGGCCUUUAUGUCCAGGGCUACACACGUGCUACAAUGGUCGGUACAAACCGUCGCAAACCCGCGAGGGGGAGCUAAUCGGAAAAAGCCGGCCUCAGUUCGGAUUGGAGUCUGCAACUCGACUCCAUGAAGCUGGAAUCGCUAGUAAUCGCGGAUCAGAACGCCGCGGUGAAUACGUUCCCGGGCCUUGUACACACCGCGAGC